rnacentral:sRNA from 1 species
UGUAUUGCAGCCAUUUUACAGGUUGCUGC